UAGUGAUACGCUACCUUCAAAGAUUAAGCCAUGCAUGUCUCAGUACAGCCUCGACAAAGUGAAACCGCAAACAGCUCAUUAAAUCAGUUAUAACUUCCUUGCUCUCGAGUUCCUAAAUGGAUAACUGUGGUAAAUCUAGAGCUAAUACAUGCAUCCAGGCCUGCUCUCGUAGUAGGUCGCAUUUUAUUAGACCCAGACUGUAGGGCGUUCUUCGGAGCGUCUUCAAUUCAGAGGUGAAUCUAGAUAACAAUCAGCUAUCAUUUAAGUCCUCCUCGGAGCGACGAUGAAGUGUAAUUCAGGCUUCUGCCUUAUCAACUUUUGUUGGUAGUCGACGGGACUACCAAGGUGAUCACGAGUAACGGGGAAUAUGGGUUCUAUUCCGGAGAAGGAGCCUGAGAAACGGCUACUACNUCUAAGGGUGGCAGCAGGCGCGCAAUUUGCCCAAUUUUAGAUGUAGGAGGGAGUGACGAGACAUAAACAUUGAAGAACGUAGCAUCUGUUGCGUUUCUUCAAAUUAAUUGUGAUUGGGCAC
rnacentral:rRNA from 1 species